rnacentral:tmRNA from 1 species
UGGGCUGAUUUAGGAUUCGACAGGAAUUUUGCAGUCUGAGGUGCAUGCCGUGGGGCGGUUGGCCACGUAAAAGCCGCAAAAAAAUAGUCGCAAACGACGAAAACUACGCACUAGCAGCUUAAUAACCUGCUGAGAGCUCUCUUGCCCUAGCUUCCGCUUUUAAGACGGGGACCAACAAGAGAUCAAACCCAAAAGAGCUAGCCCGGAUUCUCCCGCCUGAGAGAUGAACGGCGAAGUUUAAUUCAGGAUAGCCAUCAACUAGCGUGUCGGUUCGCAGGUCGGUGGUGAAAUUAAAGAUCGACUAAGCAUGUAGUACCAAUGAUGAAUGGUUUUUGGACGCGGGUUCAACUCCCGCCAGCUCCACCA